rnacentral:SRP_RNA from 1 species
GCUGGGCAUUGUGGUGGGUGCCUGUAAUCCCGGCUACUCGGGAGGCUGAGGCAGGAGAAUUGCUUGAACCCAGGAAAUGGAGGUUGCAGUGAGCCGGCACAGUGCCACUGCACUCCAGCCUGGGCGAUAGAGCUAUACUCUGUCUCAG